CAAAGGACUUGGUAAAUGGAGGACAGUGAAGACCCUUUGCAAACUGUAAGGUUCCAAAGAAUAUUUUCAUCUCUGCUGAGUUUGAUGCAGGAAUGUCAGAGGAUGGCCAGACGAGAAGCCUUUGCAUUUAUCUUGGGAAAACACAUUCCUCUUCAGCUUUGAGGCCUUGGCUUAAAGGUCACUUCAGCCAGGAGGUCCCCGGUCUCCCCAGCUGCAGGGCCUCACAUGCAGGAAGGACAUAAGGAAGAUUUGCUGAAGGAAGGACGGAAGAAAUGAAUGAGCCACCAAAGUGCCAGAUUUUCUGAUCGCCAGUCUAGUGCUGGCAGGAAGGACACUGCAAAGGACAGGGCAAAGCCGCCCAGUGCGGACAUUUCAGCUGUCGGUGCACAGGGACCCAAUGCAUGCCUGGUGUACUGACCCAAGAGCAAGCAGCUCAGCCCACCUGGGAGCAAAUUUUUGCUCAAACACUAGCCCAAGGAAGCAGAAUUGGAAAGAACAUCUGAUUUUCCAGAAUCCAGCAGAGCCUUCUAGAGUGAUUUGGGAUUAUCUGCUCCAGGGAUCACCCUGCCAGCUUUCUCCCUCCUAGACAGAUGAUUGGGAUUUGACUAGAUACUAAUCUUUCUAAGCCUCAGUUUCCUCAACUGUGAAAGAGAGGGUUGGUCCUAGGUGACCCCUAAGGCCCUUCCGAGUUCUGAAGGAAGCUAUUUUAGCUGAUUCCCUGUGUGUCCUCCAUGAGGCUGGAGAAGUCCAACCACAGCUCCUUGGUGGCCAAUUCUGUGGGGACACUUGUGGGCUCCCAGCCUUGCAGGGCCCACCUGCUCCAGCGGCUAAGCUUGUCCCUCCCCAUCCCUGAGCCAGAGCUCAGUCAGGUGCCAGGUAGAGAAAGUGAGCCUCGGAUUGGGGCAGGAGGGCAGGGGUGGGGUGUGUCCCACAGGUAGCGGGGUCGCCAGGAAGGACACAAUGUAAGGCCCACCUUUGAUUCCAUGUGUCUCGGGCUCUCUCUCUGCCUACUUCCACCCAUCACCUUAACAAACAC
rnacentral:lncRNA from 1 species